ACUUGGGGGGCUCCUGUUCUGGACUAGACUAAUGCUAGUCCACCUAGACCCUCACAAAGUCCACAUGGCUUGUCCAACCACUUCCAUGUCAGCAUGACACAACCUCUCCACCAAGAUAGGGUAAAAUUACUACUCUACCCACUAUCUAAGGGUAAUAUCUUGGCAGUCCCUCUUAAUGGGCCUUAGCUAAUCCAGCCCAUUAAGAGGACCUUUGGCCCAGAGCUGGGGGCUAUAAAUACUCUCCCUCAUGGGAGAGCAAGGUAGAACACUAUUCAUUAUCACAAUUACUCUCUCUCUCUAACUUCUCUCUAGUAUCUCUUUUGCUCUCUAUUCCUUGUCUGACUUUGGCAUCGGAGCACCUGCAGGUACAAACCCCCCCCUCCGUGGACCAUCUGCUCGGAUUACUGCCUACCACCUGCUCAACGGACUUCCAGCUGGCCUUCUACCUGUUCUGAUCAACAGUUAAGAUCA
rnacentral:lncRNA from 1 species